rnacentral:rRNA from 1 species
CCUACGGGUGGCAGUAGUGAGGAAUAUUGGUCAAUGGGCGGAAGCCUGAACCAGCCAAGUAGCGUGCGGGAUGAAGGCCCUACGGGUCGUAAACCGCUUUUGCACGGGGAUAACACCCUCCACUUGUGGAGGUCUGCAGGUACCUUAUGAAUAAGGAUCGGCUAACUCCGUGCCAGCAGCCGCGGUAAUACGGAGGAUCCGAGCGUUAUCCGGAUUUAUUGGGUUUAAAGGGUGCGUAGGCGGCCUUUUAAGUCAGCGGUGAAAGUCUGUGGCUCAACCAUAGAAUUGCCGUUGAAACUGGGAGGCUUGAGUAUGUUUGAGGCAGGCGGAAUGCGUGGUGUAGCGGUGAAAUGCUUAGAUAUCACGCAGAACCCCGAUUGCGAAGGCAGCCUGCCAAGCCAUGACUGACGCUGAUGCACGAAAGCGUGGGGAUCAAUCAGGAUUAGAUACCCUAGUAGUC